rnacentral:rRNA from 1 species
UUCCGGCUCAUGCAGCCGAGCGAACAGAUAAGGAGCUUGCUCCUUUGACGUUAGCGGCGGACGGGUGAGUAACACGUGGGCAACCUACCUUAUAGUUUGGGAUAACUCCGGGAAACCGGGGCUAAUACCGAAUAAUCUAUUUCACUUCAUGGUGAAAUACUGAAAGACGGUCUUCGUUUUAGAAGGGCCCCUGGGCAUUACUUUUUGGGAAGACCGGUACCAGCCAUCGUAGCCCCUAAAAGGGUGGCCCGGACUACACGGCCAAUUCUUCCGGAGAGGAGUCCGGAAAUUUCCCAAGGCCAAAGUCUUUGGGCCACCAUGAGGGAAGAAGGUUUUCGGACUUAAACUUUUGUUAGGGAGACUGCCCCACAACUUGCUUCCCUUGACGGGCCCCUUUUUGGAAAGCCCCGGUUACUUACGGGGCCAAAAGGCCGGGAAUACCCUGGGGGAAAUUUGCCGGAAAUAUUGGGCCCAAAAGGUCCCCCAGGUGGCCUUUAACUUAAAUUAAACCCCCGGUUAACGGGGGCUUUGGAAACUGGGGGCUUUUGGGCCGAAAGGAAUUGGGAUCAAACCCGGAAAAGCCCUAAAUUUGGGAACCCCC